UAACUAAAAACAGAUUUAAAAAAAAAAAAAGAAAUCACAGAGAGAAGAUAGAAAGUGUGAAGCAAAUGAAGAAUUUGGAAUGCAGAAAGAAAGAGAAAUUUUUGAAAAAUCAAGCAAAUACAAAUGCGUGCCUUUACAUUUCCCACCAUUGAUAAAACCGAUUGGCAUAGAUACAAGAUUGACUGAGGCUUGGCGUUGGAAUUCUCGCCUCCUGAAGACAAAUGAAUCAGUGGAAACAUGGCGUCAAAUCGGUGAAUAACAAAUGACUUAAAGAUGAAGGGCGUCUGAACAUCGCCUGAAAACAAAAUGUCAAACAUCCUUCAUCUUCGUCUUUUUGUCUUUUCAUUUGAUGCCGAGAGACGACAUUUUCGGAUGCCAUCUUUUUGUCUUUUUGAACGCCGAGCAGAAGACCUUUCUCCCAUCUAUUUUCAGGAGAUCUUUGGUUGCUCUUUUCGGACGCCGAGCAGACAACAGUUCUCCCUUUUGUUUUCGUCAAUUUCGAAGAUGGGCUAAAGACAUUCUCAUGGGCUAUUGGCCGAACUCCAGUUGA